rnacentral:rRNA from 1 species
ACUGAAUAGAUACCCUGGUAGUCCCAGCUGUAAACGAUGCAGACUAGGUGUUUGGACGGCCACGUGCCGUUCUAGUGCCGCAGGGAAGCUGUUAAGUCUGCCGCCUGGGGAGUACGAUCGCAAGAUUGAAACUUAAAGGAAUUGGCGGGGGAGCACCACAAGGGGUGAAAGCUUGCGGUUUAAUUGGAGUCAACGCCGGAAAUCUCACCGGGAGCGACAGCAGUAUGAAAGCCAGAUUGAAGGUCUUGCUAGACGAGCUGAGAGGAGGUGCAUGGCCGUCGCCAGUUCGUGCCGUGAGGUGUCCUGUUAAGUCAGGCAACGAUCGAGACCCGCGUCCUCUGUUGCAACCAGCUUUGUGCUGGGCACACUGAGGAGACCGCCACUGAUAAAGUGGAGGAAGGAGCGGGCCACGGCAGGUCAGUAUGCCCCGAAUCUCCCGGGCCACACGCGAGCUGCAAUGGCAAGUACAAUGGGUUCCGACCUCGAAAGGGGGAGGCAAUCUCGAAAGCUUGCCGUAGUUGGAA